rnacentral:tRNA from 1 species
AGCUCAGUGGUAGAGUGUGUGCUCUGCAUGCAUGAUGUCCUGGGUUCAAACCCCAG